UACAGAGGGUGCAAGCGUUGUUCGGAAUUACUGGGCGUAAAGAGCUCGUAGGUGGUUUGUCGCGUUGUUCGUGAAAACUCACAGCUCAACUGUGGGCGUGCGGGCGAUACGGGCAGACUAGAGUACUGCAGGGGAGACUGGAAUUCCUGGUGUAGCGGUGGAAUGCGCAGAUAUCAGGAGGAACACCGGUGGCGAAGGCGGGUCUCUGGGCAGUAACUGACGCUGGAGGAGCG
rnacentral:rRNA from 1 species